rnacentral:tRNA from 1 species
GCCCACAUAGCUCAGCUGGUAGAGCAGCACAUUCGUAACGUGCAGGCCAUCGGUUCAAUCCCGGUUGUGGGCUCAA